CGAGCUAUAUCUCUCCGGCAGGGGUGUCAAACUCAAUUUCGCUAAGGGCCAGACUGGAAAAUGAGAAUCACAUCAAGAACCAGACAUGUACAGUUUAUAGACAUGUUUUUAUUGAA